rnacentral:tRNA from 2 species
GCUUGAAUUUACUGUAAAUCUUUGUUUUCAAAGAAAUACGGUUCGGACUCAUAAUCGCUUGGUCGCUGGUUCAAGUCCAGCAGGGGCCACCA